rnacentral:ncRNA from 1 species
ACCAGCUUUUGGCGCCGAAGUAGCGACGUCGCUUUUUGAUCCUUUGAUCUUCCUACCAUUGUGAAUCAAAAUGCACCAAGCUUUGGAUUGUUCACUCAUGGAACGUAAGCUUGGUUUAGACCGUGAGACAGGUU